AACGAACGCUGGCGGCAGGCUUAACACAUGCAAGUCGAGCGCCCCGCAAGGGGAGCGGCAGACGGGUGAGUAACGCGUGGGAACGUACCUUUUGCUACGGAAUAACUCAGGGAAACUUGUGCUAAUACCGUAUGUGCCCUUCGGGGGAAAGAUUUAUCGGCAAAGGAUCGGCCCGCGUUGGAUUAGCUAGUUGGUGAGGUAAAGGCUCACCAAGGCGACGAUCCAUAGCUGGUCUGAGAGGAUGAUCAGCCACACUGGGACUGAGACACGGCCCAGACUCCUACGGGAGGCAGCAGUGGGGAAUAUUGGACAAUGGGCGCAAGCCUGAUCCAGCCAUGCCGCGUGAGUGAUGAAGGCCCUAGGGUUGUAAAGCUCU
rnacentral:rRNA from 1 species